GACGAACGCUGGCGGCGUGCUUAACACAUGCAAGUCGAACGGAAAGGCCUGCUUUCCCUUGUGGAUUGCGGGUACUCGAGUGGCGAACGGGUGAGUAACACGUGAGUGAUCUGCCCCCAACUUGGGUAUAAGCCUGGGAAACUGGGUCUAAUUCCCGAUAGGACUGCAGGGUGGUGCCUGUGGUGGAAAACGAUUUUCUAGUGGUUGGGGAUGAGCUCGCGGCCUAUCAGCUUGUUGGUGGGGUAAUGGCCUACCAAGGCGGCGACGGGUAGCCGGCCUGAGAGGGUGGACGGCCACAGUGGGACUGAGAGACGGCCCAGACUCCUACGGGAGGCAGCAGUGGGGAAGAUUGCACAAUGGGCGGAAGCCUGAUGCAGCGACGCCGCGUGGGGGAUGACGGCCUUCGGGUUGUAAACUCCUUUCGACCGCGAGGAAGCCACCUGGUUGGAGGGGUGGUGACGGUAGUGGUAGAAGAAGCACCGGCUAACUACGUG
rnacentral:rRNA from 1 species